rnacentral:tRNA from 1 species
GGUUCUAUGGUGUAAUGGUUAGCACUCUGGACUCUAAAUCCAGUAGUCUGCGUUCAAAUUUCAGUAGAAUCU